AACGAACGCUGGCGGCAGGCCUAACACAUGCAAGUCGAGCGAGGACUUCGGCUCUAGCGGCGGACGGGCGAGUAACGCGUGGGAAUGUGCCCUUCUCUACGGAAUAGGCCUGGGAAACUGGGAGUAAUACCGUAUACGCCCCAUGGGGGAAGGGUUUAUCGGAGAUGGAUCAGCCGGCGUUGGAUUAGGUAGUUGGUGUGGUAAUGGCCGAUCAAGCCGACGAUCCAUAGCUGGUUUGAGAGGUUGAUCAGCAGCACUGGGACUGAGACACGGCCCAAGCUCCUACGAGAGGCCGCAGGGGGGAAUCUUAGACCAUGGGGGCAACCCUGAUCUAGCCAUGCCGCGUGAGUGAUGAAGGUCUUAGGGUUGUAAAGCUCUUUCAGCUGGGAAGAUAAUGACGGUACCAGCAGAAGAAGCCCCGGCUAACUCCGUG
rnacentral:rRNA from 1 species